GCUGGGAUAGCUCAGUCCAUAGAACAUGAGACUCUUAACUUCAAAGCCAUGGGUUCGAGCCCCACAUUGGGCA